AGCAGCCGCGGUAAUUCCAGCUCCAAUAGCGUAUAUUAAAGUUGUUGCAGUUAAAAAGCUCGUAGUUGAAUUUCGGGGUUAGUAGGUUGGUCAUGCCUCUGGUAUGUACUGGUCUCACUGAUUCCUCCUUCCUGACGAUCCGUAAUGCCAUUUAUUUGGUGUUGCGGGGAAUUUGGACUGUUACUUUGAAAAAAUUAGAGUGUUUAAAGCAAGCUAACGCUUGAAUACAUUAGCAUGGAAUAAUGAAAUAGGACGUUUGAUUCUAUUUUGUUGGUUUCUAGGAUCGACGUAAUGAUUAAUAGGGAUAGUUGGGGGCAUUAGUAUUCAAUUGUCAGAGGUGAAAUUCUUGGAUUUAUUGAAGACUAACUACUGCGAAAGCAUUUGCCAAGGAUGCUUUCAUUAAUCAAGAACGAAAGUUAGGGGAUCGAAGACGAUCAGAUACCGUCGUAGUCUUAACCAUAAAACUAUAGUCCGACUAGGGAUCGGAUGAUGUUAAUUUUUAAUGUAACUCAUUCGGCGC
rnacentral:rRNA from 1 species